UUCGCCCUUAGAGUUUGAUCCUGGCUCAGAGCGAACGCUGGCGGCAGGCUUAACACAUGCAAGUCGAACGGGCUUCUUCGGAAGUCAGUGGCAGACGGGUGAGUAACACGUGGGAACGUGCCCUUCGGUUCGGAAUAACUCAGGGAAACUUGAGCUAAUACCGGACACGCCCUUAUGGGGAAAGGUUUACUGCCGAAGGAUCGGCCCGCGUCUGAUUAGCUUGUUGGUGGGGUAACGGCCUACCAAGGCGACGAUCAGUAGCUGGUCUGAGAGGAUGAUCAGCCACACUGGGACUGAGACACGGCCCAGACUCCUACGGGAGGCAGCAGAAGGG
rnacentral:rRNA from 1 species